rnacentral:rRNA from 1 species
ACGGAGGGUGCAAGCGUUAUCCGGAUUCAUUGGGUGUAAAGGGAGCGUAGACGGCAGUGGAAGUCUGGAGUGAAAACCCAGGGCUCAACCCUGGGACUGCUCUUGAAACUGUACAGCUAGAGUGCAGGAGAGGUAAGUGGAAUUCCUAGUGUAGCGGUGAAAUGCGUAGAGAUUAGGAGGAACACCAGUGGCGAAGGCGGCUUACUGGACUGUAACUGACGUUGAGGCUCGAAAGCGUGGGGAGCAAACAG